UACAGAGGUCUCGAGCGUUGUUCGGAUUCACUGGGCGUAAAGGGUGCGUAGGUGGCUUGAAAAGUUUGAUGUGAAAGCUCAGGGCUUAACCCUGAAAUGGCAUUGAAUACUGUCGAGCUGGAGGUUUGGAGGGGGGACUGGAAUUCUUGGUGUAGCAGUGAAAUGCGUAGAUAUCAAGAGGAACACCAGUGGCGAAGGCGAGUCCCUGGACAACACCUGACACUGAGGCACGAAAGCUAGGGGAGCAAACAGG
rnacentral:rRNA from 1 species